rnacentral:rRNA from 1 species
CUACGGGCCGUUGCAGUCAAGAAUAUUCCACAAUGCACGAAAGUGUGAUGGAGCGACGCCGCGUGCGGGAAGACGCCCUUCGGGGUGUAAACCGCUUUUCUCAGGGAAGAAUUUGUGACGGUACCUGAGGAAUAAGAGGUUGCUAACUCUGUGCCAGCAGCAGCGGUAAUACAGAGACCUCAAACGUUAUCCGGAUUCAUUGGGCGUAAAGCGUCCGCAGGUUGUCAUGUAAGUUGGAAGUCAAAUCCUAGGGCUUAACUCUGGGGCUGCUUUCAAAACUACAUGGCUUGAGGCUGGGAGAGGCACACGGAACUGUCGGUGUAGUAGUAAAAUGCGUUGAUAUCGACGGGAACACCAAGGGCGAAGGCAGUGUGCUAGAACAGUUCUGACACUCAUGGACGAAAGCGUGGGUAGCGAAUCGGAUUAGAUACCCGAGUAGUC